CCUCUGUGAUAGUGAGGAAUUCUGUUUCUGGUUAGUUUUGUCGACACUGUCGAAUAGAAGCGGAGGCCGCUGUCAAGGGGGAGUGGAAGUGAGCCAUGUCUCAGAAUCCUGUGGCCUCACAUCCCUCCUGGCUGCUCACGUCCUGCGUCCUGACGGCCAUCUUGAUGGGCCCAUUUGUCGUAGCAGAGGCAGGGCUUGACUGUCAGGAGCUCUGUGUGUCGGUCACCCCCUUCCUGUACACUUUCCCAAUGUAAAAGGUACUGCAGGCUUUUGGGAGCAUAAGCACUUUCCUCUCAGUACUUGAGGAAUAAAGGGCCUGACCCAGGCCAUGCAUUUGCAUUUCAAUGCUGCUGGAUCCACCCACACUACAGACAGACACUGUCAGUCAGAAGUUUCUUUUCAGGUUAUGGUAUGAAAAAGCCCAUUCAGGCUUUUCAGAAAAUAACAUCCCUGUAUUUGAGAGGGUGUGGGAUACAACAUUAAUAAUACUUGGAUAGAGGCUGCCGCCUGACCUUUCAAUGAUACUUAUAUCCUAUCGCAGUUCACUGUUUGAAAUUGUCAUAAUCACUGUCUUUGCUUCAAAAAAUACUAAUAGAGUUUAUAGGUUUCAGAGCAACAGAGUAACUUUGAAGUAAAAAUAUAACCGUUCACUUGGCA
rnacentral:lncRNA from 1 species